UGGGGAAUAUUGCACAAUGGGCGCAAGCCUGAUGCAGCCAUGCCGCGUGUGUGAAGAAGGCCUUCGGGUUGUAAAGCACUUUCAGCGAGGAGGAAGGUGGUGAGCUUAAUACGCUCAUCAAUUGACGUUACUCGCAGAAGAAGCACCGGCUAACUCCGUGCCAGCAGCCGCGGUAAUACGGAGGGUGCAAGCAUUAAUCGGAAUUACUGGGCGUAAAGCGCACGCAGGCGGUUUGUUAAGUCAGAUGUGAAAUCCCCGGGCUCAACCUGGGAACUGCAUUUGAAACUGGCAAGCUAGAGUCUCGUAGAGGGGGGUAGAAUUCCAGGUGUAGCGGUGAAAUGCGUAGAGAUCUGGAGGAAUACCGGUGGCGAAGGCAGCCCCCUGGACGAAGACUGACGCUCAGGUGCGAAAGCGUGGGGAGCAAACAGGAUUAGAUACCCUGGUAGUCCACCGCUGUAAACGAUGUCGAUUUGGAGGUUGUGCCCUUGAGGCGUGGCUUCCGGAGCUAACGCGUUAAAUCGACCGCCUGGGGAGUACGGCCGCAAGGUUAAAACUCAAAUGAAUUGAC
rnacentral:rRNA from 1 species